UACGUAGGGUGCGAGCGUUAAUCGGAAUUACUGGGCGUAAAGCGUGCGCAGGCGGUUAUAUAAGACAGAUGUGAAAUCCCCGGGCUCAACCUGGGACCUGCAUUUGUGACUGUAUAGCUAGAGUACGGUAGAGGGGGAUGGAAUUCCGCGUGUAGCAGUGAAAUGCGUAGAUAUGCGGAGGAACACCGAUGGCGAAGGCAAUCCCCUGGACCUGUACUGACGCUCAUGCACGAAAGCGUGGGGAGCAAACGAGG
rnacentral:rRNA from 1 species